rnacentral:sRNA from 2 species
UUUUAAUUGCGCAAGGGAUAGAAGCGACAUCCUUUUUUGCUUUAUAAAAGACUUCUUAAAUUAAGCUCAAGUGAGUAGCAAAAAAGAUAUAGCGAAUAGCCCGACCCGGU